UACGGAGGAUGCGAGCGUUAUCCGGAUUUAUUGGGUUUAAAGGGAGCGCAGGCGGGAGAUUAAGUCAGUUGUGAAAGUUUGCGGCUCAACCGUAAAAUUGCAGUUGAUACUGGUUUCCUUGAGUGCAGUUGAGGCAGGCGGAAUUCGUGGUGUAGCGGUGAAAUGCUUAGAUAUCACGAAGAACCCCGAUUGCGAAGGCAGCUUGCUAAACUGUAACUGACGUUGAUGCUCGAAAGUGUGGGUAUCAAACAGG
rnacentral:rRNA from 1 species